AGUAUCUCUCCGCCUUGUUCAUGAACUAGAAAACAUCCCUUCUGCCUAUGUGCUGUAAUCUCUAGAAGGAACACAGGAGAGAACUUGGGUUCUGAAGAAAGUCUCCAAAUACAUUCAAGAGCAGAAUGAGAAGAUCUAUGCUCCACAAGGCCUCCUCCUGACAGACCCUAUUGAGCGAGGACUGCGAGUUAUUGAAAUUACCAUUUAUGAAGACAGAGGCAUGAGCAGUGGAAGAUAAACCGAAGAAUUAAAGAUCCCACUUCCAGCCGGGCCCCUCAUGUAUCCACUGGCCGACCGCAGAGUGUCCCUACCUCCUCUCCAGAGCAUCAUUCCUUUCUAUCUGCUGCCAGAGCCACGGUGCCAUUUACUCCAAGGACUCACUUUCUAAAAUUCCACACCUGGAGUGACCUCUAGUCGCUCAGCAUCCACUUUGUGUCUCCAAAUUGUGUAGGACUCUGUAAUCUUUUGAUUAGUUUCUGAGAAAACACAAUGAAGCACUUCACUUUUUUUUAUUCAAAGCCAUUUAAUAAAACACAGUUGGUCAGCCCAGUGCAAAGCUUGUAAUCUGCCACCAGUACAUACCAUUGGUUCUCUUCAUUCCUUGGGCCAGCUUCUCAGGUGGCUUUAGACCUCAACAAGCCGUAUCUUCACCAGUGUUCUAUCUUGUUCCCCUAAAUUAAUAAAAUGUUUUUCUCCAGGAUUUUGGUGAGGGUUGGCUGUGGCUGUCGUUUUGCACCUCCCAGAUUUCAAAGAAUUACCGGUUUUACCAUGACUCAAAUCUUAAGAUCUGUUUCUACUAUUCAGUUCCU
rnacentral:sRNA from 1 species